ACAAUGGAGAGUUUGAUCCUGGCUCAGGAUGAACGCUAGCUACAGGCUUAACACAUGCAAGUCGAGGGGAAACGACAUCGAAAGCUUGCUUUUGAUGGGCGUCGACCGGCGCACGGGUGAGUAACGCGUAUCCAACCUGCCCACCACUUGGGGAUAACCUUGCGAAAGUAAGACUAUCAAUCUUAAAUUUAUCGUCUCUAAAGACAUCUGAAAGAGAUUAAAGAUUUAUCGGUGAUGGAUGGGGAUGCGUCUCUCGAUUAGCUUGUUGGCGGGGUAACGGCCCACCAAGGCGGUUUGAUCAGUAGGGUUCUAGAGGAAUAUCUCCCCACAUUGAACUGAGGACACGGUCCAAACUCCUACGGAGGCAGCAGAGGAAUAUUGGUCAAUGGACGAGAGUCUGAACCAAGCCAAGUAUGCAGGAAGCUAAUGUAAUCUAUGGGUUGUAAAACUGCUUUUAUAGAAUAAAGUGAGUCUCGUGAGAUCUUCGUACGUACCUUAUGAAUAUGACCGGCUAAUUCCGCCAAAGCAGCCGCGGUAAUACGGAAGGUCCGGGCGUUAUCCGGAUUCCGGUAUUGGGUUUAAAGGGAGCGUGGUAGCCGAGAUUGCUGUUGUGAAAUGUAGACGCUCAACGUCUGCAACGCAGCGCGAACUGGUUUCCCUCGAGUACGCACAAGCGGGCGGAAUCUGUGGUGUAGUGCGGUGAAAUGCUUAGGAUAUCACGAAGAACCUCGAUUGCGAAGGCAGCCCACUGGAGCGCAACUGGACGCUGACUGAAAGUGCGGGUAUCGAAAUAUGGAUUAGAUACCCCCGUAACCAAUUUGGUAAACGAUGGAUGCCCGCCGUUGGCCUGAAAUAGGUCAGCGGCUGCUGUGAAAGCAUUAGCAUCCCACCUGGGGAGGAAUACGCCGGCAACGGUGAAACUCAAAAGGAAUCUCGACGCGUCUUUACCAAGCGGAGUACAUGUGGUUUAAUCUGAUGAUAAUGCGAGUGAACUCAUCACCUCGGGCUUGAAUCUGCAGGAGGAAGGAUUUGAGACAAAUGACGCCCUGUGGGCCUCUGCUGCAUGGUUGUCGUCAGCUCGUGCCGUGAGGUGUCGGCUUAAGUGCUAUAAACAGGAGCAACCCUCCUUAGUUGCCACCAGGUUGCUGGGCACCUUGUGGUCAAUUUCCAGCCACCGUAAGGUGAGGAAGGUGGGAUGACGUCAAAUCAGCACGGCCCUUUACGUCCGGGCUACACACGUGUUACAAAUGGCAGGUACAGAGAGACGGGUCUCUUGCAAAAAUGGAUCAAACUCCAAAGCCUGUCUCUAGUUCGACUGGGUCUGCAACCCUAGACCCUACUGAAGCUGAUUCAGUAAUCGCGCAUCAGCCAUGCGUUGAAUAUGUUCCUGGCCUUGCGUACACACCGCCCGUCAAGCCAUGAAAGCCGGGCUGCCUAAAGUCCGCACUGUAAGGAGCGGUCGUUUAGGGCGAACUGGUAAUUGGGGCUAAGUCGUAGUCACUGGAAGGUAGCCGUACCGGAAGGUGCGGCUGGAACACCUCCCUU
rnacentral:rRNA from 1 species